UUUCUUUUUUUUUUUUUUUUUUAAGCAUCACAGGGGUAAAGAGAACUGAAUCGUAAUAAUAUGAACAUGGCACAUUCUUGUUAGCCUUUCAGCAAGUUAACUAGGGGAGGACCUUUUGCACGUAGGUUUACAAAGUGAGAAUGCAGUUGUGCGUGGUAUUGCAGGCCUAGACUAACAUUAGAGAAGUUGAGACAGGAACAUCGUGAGUUCUAGGCCAGCUGGGGUUGCAGAGUAAGAACCUUUCUCUAGGGCAAGUGGGAGGGAAUGUAAAAGACCUAAGAAAUGCAGUAAAUUAGCAUGCUCUACUGCAUUGUGGCAGGCCUUAGUGCGCUGUAGGCAGUUGAGUAGUUUGAGAUGAGAGGUCUGGUGUUCCUUCAGUUACAGCAGCUCUACAACAGCAGCAUUGUGAACUAAUUAAUGAGUAGACUUAGAGCCAAGUACACCUCUUAGAAUAGGGAAAAACCUGCCAAGUAUAGGGUUCAAGUGCUUUAAGUGUCUGUAGACCUAACAAUAAACGAUAGAAACCCGGGAGUGUAGUCAUAUCCCUGAGAGCUGAAGAUUGAUUACAACUCAGUUCAUCUUCAUCUGUGUGCCCAGAAUGGAAAACCAGCUCUUGAAGUUCUGAUUCAGGGUCUCACAUUAGAAGCAGUUAAAAAUCUCUAGUUUCAGUUUCAGACCCUGGUAAGUAUAUCCCUCGUGUGGCAUCAUAAAAAGUCCCGUGCACUGGAGGAUUGGUGAGGAGGAUGGAACAUAGUGGGCCUAAAAUCUGAGUACUGUCUUCUGUCUCCCUUCCAUGAGGAGGGGGGAGGGGGAGUCCCCCAGGGGGUCAACAAGGCGACCAGUUCUUAUGCUCAGGGGUUCUUUGACCUUUCUCUCCCCCACCUUGUCCUUCACAAUUGACUCAAUCCUUAGUGGAGGUGGAACUGAUGGGUUUCAGGGCAGGAGGGUAGGACAAGUUAACAAUUGAUUAAUCUUCCCAGCAUACCAGCAUCUCAAAAAUGAUCAGCAUUCAAAAUACAGCAUGCAUCAGGGACAUGUUUCUAGACCAGUUUCUUCUGACCCCCCCCCCCCCCCAUCCCAUAAAUGAUAUCAUCCUAACAUUGAGAGUGUCGUCAUCAGUGAGGAGCAGUGUCUCCUCUCUGCCUCUUGCUAUCCAAAUGGGACCAGUCCCCUUUGAUCCCUCUUCCUCUGCACAGUGGGAGGGCACCACACAGUCUAUGCAACUGUGUCCCAAGGACUCUGGCCCUGUCUCCCCACUGCCUGUGUGCAGAAUACACAACAGGGGAGGGGAGGGAGGGAAGCUCAAAGUGAAGCCAGUGCUGGAAACACUUCUACAUUCUUCGUGGAUGCUCACCAUGUACACUGAGAAGACUGCAUGGCAGAGCUGAGCUGAGCUGCUGCCCCUCUGAGUGGAUACAGGCAGGCAGCAUGCUGCUCUGCACAGGAAACCACUCCUCCACAUGCAGGUGAUUCGAUUUCACAAACAGUUGUUCCCCUGAUUUAUAUAUUUUUUCUUUCUAGAAUAUCUGUACAGUUUCCUUAAUUUAUAGAAACAAUUGUCAUUUUUAAAAUUUCCAAAGAUUCUGAUAUCGCUGUU
rnacentral:lncRNA from 1 species